rnacentral:lncRNA from 1 species
UGGGAAUACAGGAAAAUGCAUUAAGACGGCAAAAUAGCUUUAUUAUAAGGUAAGUGCCACAGAAAAGAAGAGAUAUUCACUUAGCAAUCUCCAAAUGACAACUAUUGGCAUUUCUAUAGAGCAAUGCAGUGUUCAUUGAAAUUUUAUCUCUAAUUUGUGGAUAAUCUUGUCUGUUGAAUCUGCCUUAUGAAACUUCAUCUCAAAAUUCUCUAAUUUCCAUGUAUUCAUGCCUUUGGUCUUAUAUGUUGCCACAAACACUUGUUCUUCAUUAUCAAUACUAAAUUCCUGUGAGCUCUAUAGAGAUAUUGACAGUCACCAUGUGGGAUUGUUCACUGGACAUUCUUACUUUUGUAUGCCACAUAUUUUUGAAAUAAAACUAUUUUGUUGUCCCCAUUUUCCUAUAUACCUAUUGGUUUUUGUGAUAAAUAAAACUUUUGGACACCCUGUAUAAGAUCAUUGCUCAGUGAUUUGAACUCUGUCAAUUGCGCUGACCAGUCG